CGCGGCUCACAUGUACUUCUGUUAUAAACUAUCUGUCAGUGUUUCUUUCACAGGCUGUCGAACGACGGUCAAGACUACGACUCGCAAAAGGGUUAGUCGCAUAUCCAUAUAUGUCAUGUGGCAAUGAAAGCUUAGCUCCAAAAUCUGGACACCUGACAGCAGCUUUUUCGGGGAUAUCACAGCCUCAAAGAUUUUCAGACGAAGAUUCAGACAACGUUAUCUUUCACUGGGACACACAUUCAAGUAAUUCCCACACUAAUCCUUCAGUUUCUUAUCAUAAUGGUGAGAUUACUAUUCCAGAGGGCAGAACUUACUUCAUAUAUGCAUCAGUACAUUUCAACAUCAGCCGACAAAAUUAUAAUACACAGUUCCGAAAUUUGCAACAGUUUUCAGUACGGAUUUGCAGACGAGUACACGAGUAUGAGCAGACUCUAUUAGGAAGAACGAAGAUGUUUAACAUCAGCAACACCAAUGCUGUGUCAAGUUUAAGAAUUGCAAGUCAUUUGAAGAUGUCGAGAGAUGACAAAAUAUACAUACAAGUAUCGGAUGCAAAACGUCUAAUACCUUACUCAAAGGGCAAUAGUUUUGGACUUUUCCCCACAUAGAUAUCAUCUCCUCAGUGAGAAGCUUAACUAGAUCUAGAAUAAGAUACAAAAUUGAUUGAAAAACUGCAAACUGUUCAGAGGCAAUUAGCUUGUGGUUGAAGUGGACUAUGUAUGCCUUAGGUCUUGUGCAUUUAUCAUGAAUGCUUUGAACUGCCGAAGAUGUAUGCCAGUCUGGUGUUGUGUUUUCAAUUACUAAGACAUAUACUUCUCUACAAAGGCUUCGGAUUUUUGGAGAAUUCUGGACAUAAAGACAACACCCAAUAUACCUACCUUUAUGACACUAAUAAUAUCUGGUUUUUUUUAUUCUCUCUAAAACAUUAAUCAUUUUUCACAUUGUCGUGAUAGGUUCCGAAUACUGUAAAAGCACAUAUUUUCGCCGGGACAAAUUUCGCGAAUUUGAAAUUUUGAGUAUUUUCGCGGGGUUUAAUAUUCGCGAAAUUGUAGAAAUGGUUUCCUAUUUUAAUUUGAAUUAUAUUUAUGGUGAAUAUUAACGCAAGGAAUAAUUUUCACGAGAUAUAUUGUCUCGUGAAUGUAGCGAAAAUUAAACCUUUGCGAAAAUAUCUGCUUUUACAAGCUGUUGAAAAACGUCAGAGAAAAAAAAACAUAUGGAUUAGAACAGCUCGAUGUAACAUCUGUCUUUCAAACCUAUUGUGUAAAUAUUUAACAACCCUUGUUUCAAAGAGAAAGUACAAACAAACGUAGGAUGUUUUAAUGACAAGUACGUUCCUUACAUAAUUAUUCAAGUGUAGUUCAAAGAGAACGAAGGUCAGUGCGUAGACAAACGAUGAAUAUAAGCUUAUAGUUACAAGCAAUCACAGAACAGCUUUGUAAUCGACAUUUUUUAUCAUAAGUGCAUAUGUAAAUGUAGAUCUGUUAGCACACAUAGUCUCAUAAAGACUUUAUUUUUCUGUUCAGCUAUAUUCCCUUACAUGUUGUAAUAUUUAGCUCACACGUUCAUUAAAAAAUGUAUGUCCACCUAUAUGGUUUUACCUAUAGAGAGUGCACCGAUGUAUCUUUAAAUGUACUUAUGUGGUCAGUAGCUUGUCCACCUUCUAGUUUGUCUAGAAUAUGUUUUGCAACAACCAAUUAACGUAAAGUCUCUUAAGAAAUCCAUUAUGACUAUUUGUCGGUCAUGCAGGUGUCGUACACGUGUAUGCAAAUUACAUUCAAGGUGUAUUCCUCAUGUCUAAAGGAGCACCUCUAAAUUUAGAUAUUUAGUUGUCAUGCUAAUUUCGGUGUACAAGGGUCCAAGCGAGGUAUAAGAAUAUUACUUUUCAAUGCUUUGUUAAAGGGACAAGGUCACACAUUUUAGGCGAAAAUUAAUUUAUCCCAAAAAUCCAUAAAAAAUGAGUACUCUGAAUAUGACUAGUGGUACAAAGGUAUUGAUAUAAGAUUUUUGCAAGAUAUUCAUAUAAAUGACCAAAAAUAUCAUACAGAAGCUAGAAACCCAUUGCUUUUGAAAAAGGGAGGAAAAUUUAUAUUCUUUUUGCAUUUAUACCAAAUAUGAUAAUAUCUUACUUUUAUUUUUACCCAUUUAAUCAUUUUUUUCGGUAUCAUAUAUACAGUCCUUGCCAAACUUGGUGAAAAUGAACAUGUUGAAAAUUUUCACUCAACCUGUGGGCGAGUAGCUUUAAUAAAUUAAUGUCUGGUUUUUGGUUACGGGGUUACAAUGUUUAACUACGAUUUACUUCCUCAAUUUUCUGCAUAGAGUAUAUUUAUAAAUGUGUUAUGAGAGAGAGAGAGAGAGAGAGAGAGAGAGAGUACGUUUUAUUUGUAUUGUUUUAAGAAAAGAUAAAAAUGAACACUAAUAAAAAAGUAACCGAUUAGGAGUUAAUUACGAUGGCACAGAGGUGACAUGCACUCCUCUUUUUUUUCAGUUGCACUUUUCUUUUUUUAUGUCGUUCCCACGAGAUACUAACUCGAGGGAACGACUUAGUAUGUCGUGGUAACGAGUAACUAAGUCGUGGGAACGACAUAGAAAAGAGAAGUGCAAUUUCAAAAAAAAGUAUUGCAUUGAAAAAAAGGAGUAGCGCAA